UACGAAGGUCCCAAGCGUUAUCCGGAUUUAUUGGGUUUAAAGGGUGCGUAGGCGGGUUAUUAAGUCAGUGGUGAAAGCUCCAUGCCUAACAUGGAAAUUGCCAUUGAUACUGAUGAUCUUGAGUACAUUUGAAGUGGGCGGAAUGUGUCAUGUAGCGGUGAAAUGCUUAGAUAUGACACAGAACACCGAUUGCGUAGGUAGCUCACUAAACUGUAACUGACGCUGAGGCACGAAAGCGUGGGGAGCAAACAGG
rnacentral:rRNA from 1 species